UACAGAGGGGGCAAGCGUUGUUCGGAAUUACUGGGCGUAAAGGGCGCGUAGGCGGCCUCUUAAGUCGAACGUGAAAUCCCCGGGCUCAACCCGGGAACUGCGUCCGAUACUGGGAGGCUUGAAUCCGGGAGAGGGAUGUGGAAUUCCAGGUGUAGCGGUGAAAUGCGUAGAUAUCUGGAGGAAUACCGGUGGCGAAGGCGGCAUCCUGGACCGGCAUUGACGCUGAGGAGCGAAAGCUAGGGGAGCAAACGGG
rnacentral:rRNA from 1 species